CCUACGGGUGGCAGCAGUGAGGAAUAUUGGUCAAUGGGCGCAAGCCUGAACCAGCCAAGUCGCGUGAGGGAAGACGGCCCUACGGGUUGUAAACCUCUUUUGCCGGGGAGCAAGCCUGAGCACGUGUGCCCCGUCGGAUAGUCCCCGGAGACAAAGCAUCGUCUACCUCCGUGCCAGCAGCCGCGGUAAUACGGGGGAUGCGAGCGUUCUCCGGAUUGAUUGGGUUUAAAGGGUGCGCAGGCGGGCUGUUACGCCGGCGGUAAAAAUUCAGGGCGCAACCCUGUCGCGCCGUCGGAACUGGCAGUCGUGAGUGGGCGAGAAGUAUGCGGAAGGCGUGGUGUAGCGGUGAAAUGCAUAGAUAUCACGAAGAACGCCGAUUGCGAAGGCAGCAUACCGGCGCCCAACUGACGCUGAGGCACGAAAGCGUGGGGAUCGAACAGGAUUAGAUACCUGGGUAGUC
rnacentral:rRNA from 1 species